ACGGGAGGCAGCAGUGGGGAAUAUUGCACAAUGGGGGAAACCCUGAUGCAGCAACGCCGCGUGAGUGAUGACGGUCUUCGGAUUGUAAAGCUCUGUCUUCAGGGACGAUAAUGACGGUACCUGAGGAGGAAGCCACGGCUAACUACGUGCCAGCAGCCGCGGUAAUACGUAGGUGGCAAGCGUUGUCCGGAUUUACUGGGCGUAAAGGGAGCGUAGGCGGACUUUUAAGUGGGAUGUGAAAUACCCGGGCUCAACCUGGGUGCUGCAUUCCAAACUGGAAGUCUAGAGUACAGGAGGGGAAAGCGGAAUUCCUAGUGUAGCGGUGAAAUGCGUAGAGAUUAGGAAGAACACCAGUGGCGAAGGCGGCUUUCUGGACUGUAACUGACGCUGAGGCUCGAAAGCGUGGGGAGCAAACAGGAUUAGAUACCCUGGUA
rnacentral:rRNA from 1 species